UGUUGCGUCAGGGAAAUUUUCUACUAUAUCCGGGUUGGUGUUAAUUGUUUGAAAAAUACAUUGCUGAUUUUUCUUCGUGUUUUCCUCUGCAGCACAUUGUUCCAAUUUUCACGAUUGGUCGAUUCCUAAGUUGAUUCUUCAGAACCGGUUGCAGCGAAUAUGCGAUCUCCUUCCGUCUCCGUGAUGCAGAUGAAGCUAUUUUGUAUAUGUAUCGUCUGGUCGACGAUAUAUUCGAAUUCCGACCUUGAUGGUAGAGGAUCAUCUUUUGAUUGUUGGUUAUGGGCUAUUACUGAGUUGCUGCUUUCUGGUGUGCCAAUCUUAUAGUUCCCCAGGCGUAGGAGAUGCUGUAUAGUCGAGUCCCAAGUUGUUCAUCUUCUAAUGGGUUGUUGAAUAGAAAUUGGACAACUUGAAGAGUCCAACGUCUUGUCCUAGACUUAUACCAUUCUCUGUAAUCGUUGCAUACUGAAGUAUCCAGGAAAAGUCAAGCACGUCAGAGGGAUUCCAACCACUUUGUGUCCUAUUGGUACGAUGCCCAUAUCUGGCUUGUUAAGAAACGAUAUUUCUAUCUGCCGGUUGGUGUCGUAGAGACGGCUGGUGUUAUCUGACUCCGGGGAAUUUCCAGGUAUCCUUUUCCUUUUAGUAAUGUUUGGGUGUAUGAAUUGUUAGUUGUCCUUUCUCCCCACACGAUCGUAUUUUGAUUUUGGAUGAAUUGUCCUUCCUGUUGUGUGGUAUUUAGCAGUCCGAAAGGGCUUUCAAUUGGGCGAUCUGGUUUCUCCUGUCGUAGCGUGAUCUGUUCCGCUAUACAGUUUAGGGUUUGGUAUUCCUUGAUGGCGUACCAUUUACCUUCUCCUAUAGGGGUGACCGUGAAACUGAGUCCCGUUGGUCUGAUCAGCAUGUUAUUGUCACCAUAUUUUUUAUCAUUGAACAUCCGCCAGCCUUCUAGAGGGGUUAUUAAUAUUGUUUCUUGUGAGUUUACUGUAUCGAAGGAUCCAAUCCAGAACGAUCCGGUUAUUUUCUUUGUUUUAGUCCACUGUCGACAUGACCAUCCUUUCCAAGUGGCUGCUGGUUUUGUUUACUCACCAAUGUGUAAGCAGUUGGUAUCCUUGGUAAGUGUUGUGUUUCAGGUUUUUCGUUGUCACAUUAGUAAGGCGAUUCGAAAUCCAGGAUUCCUCGAAUUUUCAUAUUGUUACAAUCGCAGACGGAUGCGUAGAUAGGGUAAGUAGGGUUAAGUGAAUGAAGGAGGCAAAGAAGGAAGAGUAAUGUCUGCAUCUGUGAAAAAAAAAGAGUUUAGUUAUCUGGUCCUUGAUACCGUCUUCGUAAGUUGUAUCGGUGUUUCGUUAUUGGAUCGUUUUGGAUUUGGUUACGGUAAAGGUUGGGUAUUGUGUGGUUUGUUUGCUCUUUUGGUUUUAUUUCAUUCCUGCUGGGUUUGAUGUUCAUCUUCACUGGAUGUAUCAGCCGCUGUUUCCUUGGUCGGCCUGGUCGGCGUUGGUGAAUUGUUGGUCGUCGUUGGGCUUCAACAUUUUCUGGUAGGUUUUGUAGUAUUUCUUCUUCCUCAGUUGUUUCUUGUUUUCUUGGGAUAUAAAGUUUGAGACGGUUGGUAUGUACCACGGAUUUCAGUUUCUUGUUUACAGUGUGCUGUAUUUCGUAAUUGAUAUCCGAGAAACUUCGAGAAAUUUGAAAUGGUCCGUUCCAUCGAUUUAUGAAUUUUCCUGCUGCCGGUUGCGUCUGCAGUAAUACGUAGUC